GAUGAACGCUAGCGGCAGGCCUAAUACAUGCAAGUCGAACGGUAAGGCCCUUUCGGGUGCUGACGAGUGGCGAACGGGUGAGUAAUGCAUCGGAACGUGCCCAAUCGUGGGGGAUAACGUAGCGAAAGUUACGCUAAUACCGCAUAAGCCCUGAGGGGGAAAGCAGGGGAUCGCAAGACCUUGCGCGAAUGGAGCGGCCGAUGUCAGAUUAGCUAGUUGGUGGGGUAAAGGCUCACCAAGGCGACGAUCUGUAGCGGGUCUGAGAGGAUGAUCCGCCACACUGGGACUGAGACACGGCCCAGACUCCUACGGGAGGCAGCAGUGGGGAAUUUUGGACAAUGGGCGCAAGCCUGAUCCAGCCAUGCCGCGUGCGGGACGAAGGCCUCGG
rnacentral:rRNA from 1 species